UCUCUCUCUCUCUCUCUCUCCCUCCACUGCUGCCUCAAAGUGAAGGUACCAAUUUGCCCCAUGGUAUCACACUAACAGAAAGAAAAGCCUUGAGUUGCACCUGAUUUUUCCUGUGUUCUUAUAAUCUCAGGAGUUGUGUGUUUGUCUGUACCUUUCAGGCCACGUGGAUGUGGAGGGUGUUGAGCCCUGCUAUGAGAUCAUUGACAGAAAUGUUUGUGUGUGAUUAUUAUGUAGUAAGUGUAAAAUGCAUAGCAAGUGCUUCUUUAAUUAUUUGAUUUCUUAAAUACAGCUCGUUUUGAGUGCUUCAUAGAUGUCUAAUUACAGGGGGGUGUCAUGACCGAGAGCCCCAGACACUGAACUCUGAAAUCCACCAUGUUUGCUCUGAGGGCACACCUCCCACCUGCUGCUCCCAGCCGGGAGGCUGAGUGUGGCCGGCCUGCCCCAGGGAGACUGGGAGCCCUCUAGUGGUAGGCUUGGGCUUAAGGAGUCCCCCCUCCUUUCUUGGUCUUGACCAGGCUUCCUUAUCCUGCUUGGCAGGGGGGGCGGUCAGGAAUACCUCCAUUGUCUCUUCCUUUCCCUUCGAUUUCAUGUGGAGCCAGUCUUCCCCUCUUCUCUCACUGGUAUGGAGCCCAAACGAAAUCUUUGCAUAUUUAACUCUGUCUUGGUGCCCAUCCUCAAGAGAACCAUACGAACAGAUUGACGUUGAUUCAAAGCACAGCUUUGCAAGGCAAAGAACUAUGUGUUUGGUAUGUUACAUUUUAGGUCGUAAAGGGGGAGGAAAUAAGUUUAUACAUUUGGGUUAGCUGAUAGAGGCACCCAGAACUCUCAAGGAUACACAAAAAAUUAGUAACAGUGAUAGCCUGUGUGAGGUUUUGGGGAUGAAUGGGGAUAAGAACUGGGAGAGAAACUUUUCAAGGUAUACCUUACAUAUUUUCUUGAGUUUUCAAGCAAAUAAAUGUGUAACAAUUUGAAAAUGUAAAAUCAAAUGUUUUCAUUAAAAAAAUACAUGAAUUUGAGAGAAAAACAAAGCAUGACUUUUGGAGAUGGAUCUGAGCUGGAGUCCCUUAUCAGCUAGUGAUCUUGGGAAAAUAACCAGUCUUGGGUGGGUAACCGAGCUAUUGGAUUCUAGAUGUCAGUGAGUUAUCUUUCUCCUUGAAUUCGAUAACCUCAUUCGCCAGAUCCCAAGAAGGCAUACACUGCCCACUGGAUUGCCACUGGGCUUGGCCAUUGAAAUUGCUGGGGCUAGGGGACCAUGAGGCCGAGAGCUAGUGAGCCUGAGAAGAUUUCAAGAACCAGUGCACUGAGCAGACCAAACUCUCCCUUCCCUCCGCCAGUCUGGUGAGAAUGACCAGAGGAAGCUAUCAUACAGUAUUCAGACCACCUGCGCUAGACAUCUGGACACCAAGAUACCCUGGCUUGAAGGAGUAAGACCUGGACCCUCAUCUUUGUUCUCACUGGUUCCUGGAUGCCUAAGAGGACACCUACACCCGACCACCGACUGUCCUCAGUGAAAAACCCCAGACCCCAAGCAAAGACGAGGCUCUCUCUUUUCCUUUGAAUCCCCCCGACACUGUCUGUGAUCGUACUCUCUCUGUACCUUCAAUAAACUCUGUUUUCGCCUCCUGCACGCCUCCUGCACGCAUCCAGGGACCCUCUUAAGUACCCCCUUAAGACUCUGGGUCCGCAGAACGGCCUGCCAGCAUCACCGGGAUGCCUUUUUACAUGCUCUUUAUAUUCUCUGUAUACUACACAAACGAAUCCAACUUGUAAAGAGCUAUACGAAUUAUAGAGUUCCCUUCAAUGGCUCAAUAAAUGGAGAACCCUGGCGCAGA